GAGGGGCAGCGCGGGUAGCAAUACCUGGCGGCGACCGGCGCAAGGGUGCGUAACGCGUGAGCAAUCUGCCCGUGUCAGGGGGAUAAGCGAUGGAAACGUCGUCUAAUACCGCAUAACAACGGCCAUGGCAUCAUGGAUGUUUGAAAGAUACGUCGGACACGGAUGAGCUCGCGAGACAUUAGCUAGUUGGCGGGGUAACGGCCCACCAAGGCUGCGAUGUCUAGGGGAACUGAGAGGUUGGUCCCCCACACUGGAACUGAGACACGGUCCAGACUCCUACGGGAGGCAGCAGUGAGGAAUAUUGGACAAUGGUCGGAAGACUGAUCCAGCCAUGCCGCGUGGAGGUUAAGGUCCUAUGGAUUGUAAACUCCUUUUGAGAGGGAGCAAUAAGUGUCACGUGUGACACGAUGAGAGUACCUUUCGAAUAAGCAUCGGCUAACUCCGUGCCAGCAGCCGCGGUAAUACGGAGGAUGCGAGCGUUAUCCGGAUUUAUUGGGUUUAAAGGGUGCGUAGGCGGUUUUGCAAGUCAGCGGUGAAACGCACGGGCUUAACCUGUGACCUGCCGUUGAAACUGCGGGACUGGAAUGCGGAUGCUGUGGGA
rnacentral:rRNA from 1 species